rnacentral:rRNA from 1 species
UCCGAAGGGUGCAAGCGUUACUCGGAAUUACUGGGCGUAAAGCGUGCGUAGGCGGUUUGUUAAGUCUGUCGUGAAAGCCCCGGGCUCAACUUGGGAAUGGCGAUGGAAACUGGCGAGCUAGAGUACGGUAGAGGAGAGUGGAAUUCCCGGUGUAGCAGUGAAAUGCGUAGAGAUCGGGAGGAACAGCAGUUGCGAAGGCGGCUCUCUGGACCAGUACUGACGCUGAGGCACGAAAGCGUGGGGAGCAAACAGG